rnacentral:tRNA from 1 species
CGCGGGGUGGAGCAGUCUGGUAGCUCGUCGGGCUCAUAACCCGAAGGCCGUUGGUUCGAAUCCAGCCCCCGCAACCA